rnacentral:rRNA from 1 species
UACGGAGGGUGCGAGCGUUAUCCGGAAUCACUGGGUUUAAAGGGUGCGUAGGCGGGAAAUUAAGUCAGUGGUGAAAGCCUGUCGCUUAACGAUAGAAUUGCCAUUGAUACUGAUUUUCUUGAAUUGGGUUGAGGUUAGCGGAAUGUGACAUGUAGCGGUGAAAUGCAUAGAUAUGUCAUGGAACACCAAUUGCGAAGGCAGCUAGCUGGGCCUUGAUUGACGCUGAGGCACGAAAGCGUGGGUAGCGAACAGGAUUAGAUACCCUGGUAGUCCACGCCCUAAACGAUGCUAACUCGAUGUUUGGACGAAAGUUUGAGCAUCCAAGGGAAACCGAUAAGUUAGCCACCUGGGGAGUACGUCCGCAAGGAUGAA